CGGUGUGAGGGGGCCGUACCUCAUGCAGAGUGUUGGUGGAAUUUGUGUGCGGCUGCAUAGUGUGCGGCCUCCCCACACAGU
ncrna:Ornithorhynchus anatinus (platypus) microRNA oan-mir-1421p precursor (oan-mir-1421p-2)